rnacentral:rRNA from 2 species
UACGUAGGGUGCGAGCGUUGUCCGGAAUUAUUGGGCGUAAAGGGCUCGUAGGCGGUUUGUCGCGUCGGGAGUGAAAACCUACAGCUUAACUGUGGGCUUGCUUUCGAUACGGGCAGACUAGAGGUAUGCAGGGGAGAACGGAAUUCCUGGUGUAGCGGUGAAAUGCGCAGAUAUCAGGAGGAACACCGGUGGCGAAGGCGGUUCUCUGGGCAUGAUCUGACGCUGAGGAGCGAAAGUGUGGGGAGCGAACAGG